UACGUAGGCAGCAAGCGUUGUUCGGAGUUACUGGGCGUAAAGGGUGUGUAGGCGGUUGUUUAAGUUUGGUGUGAAAUCUCCCGGCUCAACUGGGAGGGUGCGCCGAAUACUGAAUGACUAGAGUGCGGGAGAGGAAAGUGGAAUUCCUGGUGUAGCGGUGAAAUGCGUAGAUAUCAGGAGGAACACCGGUGGUGAAGGCGGGUCUCUGGGCCGUUACUGACGCUGAGGAGCGAAAGCGUGGGGAGCGAACAGG
rnacentral:rRNA from 1 species